GUUAAAUAUUGAACAUCCUGGCCCCGAGGAUGCAGACCGAUAUGUAAUGGGAAUGUAUUGGACGAAAGGUUCCUACAACAAAUUAGGUCAUUUCUACCUCAGAGAUAUGUACCACUCUCCAGAGUGGCAAGGGGCUGAUCAUAUGGUCAAAUCCGCUAAAACCACAUAUCCAGUCCUUUAAAGAUAUGAUGGCCAUCGCUAAUCCCACUUUGAAGAUACCAUGGCCGCUGAAACUGGAUUCAAUGACAUUAAUUUGUGGUUAGAAUGGAUGAGG